CAGUAGCCGCGGUAUUACGUAGGUGGCAAGCGUUGUCCGGAAUUAUUGGGCGUAAAGCGCGCGCAGGCGGAUAGGUCAGUCUGUCUUAAAAGUUCGGGGCUUAACCCCGUGAUGGGAUGGAAACUGCCAAUCUAGAGUAUCGGAGAGGAAAGUGGAAUUCCUAGUGUAGCGGUGAGAUGCGUAGAUAUUAGGAAGAACACCAGUGGCGAAGGCGACUUUCUGGACGAAAACUGACGCUGAGGCGCGAAAGCCAGGGGAGCGAACGGGAUUAGAUACCCCGGUAGUCCCUGUCUCUUAUACA
rnacentral:rRNA from 1 species